GACGUAGGAGGCGAGCGUUAUCCGGAUUCACUGGGCGUAAAGCGCAUGUAGGCGGUUGUGUAAGUCCGAUGUUAAAGCCCCUGGCUCAACUGGGGGAGGUCAUUGGAGACUACUCGACUUGAGGGCAACAGAGGCACGUGGAACUCCCGGUGUAGCGGUGGAAUGCGUAGAGAUCCGGAAGAACACCGGUGGCGAAGGCGGCCUGCUGGGAUCUUGCUGACGCUGAGGCGCGACAGCGUGGGGAGCAAACAGG
rnacentral:rRNA from 1 species